UACGGAGGAUCCAAGCGUUAUCCGGAUUCACUGGGUUUAAAGGGUGCGUAGGUGGAAUGACAAGUCAGUGGUGAAAACCUGCAGCUUAACUGUAGAACUGCCAUUGAUACUGUUAUUCUUGAGUACAUUUGAUGUGAGUGGAAUGUGUCGUGUAGUGGUGAAAUGCUUAGAUAUGACACAGAACACCAAUUGCGAAGGCAGCUCACAAAACUGUAACUGACACUGAGGCACGAAAGCGUGGGAGUC
rnacentral:rRNA from 1 species